GUGGGGAAUCUUCCGCAAUGGACGAAAGUCUGACGGAGCAACGCCGCGUGAGUGAUGAAGGUCUUCGGAUUGUAAAGCUCUGUUAAUCGGGACGAAAGAGCCUAGUGUGAAUAAUGCUAGGAAGUGACGGUACCGGAAUAGAAAGCCACGGCUAACUACGUGCCAGCAGCCGCGGUAAUACGUAGGUGGCAAGCGUUGUCCGGAAUUAUUGGGCGUAAAGCGCGCGCAGGCGGAUCUGCCAGUCUGUCUUAAAAGUUCGGGGCGUAACCCCGUGAUGGGAUGGAAACUACAGAUCUAGAGUAUCGGAGAGGAAAGUGGAAUUCCUAGUGUAGCGGUGAAAUGCGUAGAUAUUAGGAAGAACACCAGUGGCGAAGGCGACUUUCUGGACGAAAACUGACGCUGAGGCGCGAAAGCCAGGGGAGCGAACGGGAUUAGAAACCCCGGUAGUCC
rnacentral:rRNA from 1 species